rnacentral:rRNA from 1 species
GACGAACUGUCCAAACGUUGUUCGGAAUCACUGGGCUUAAAGGGCGCGUAGGCGGUCGAUCAAGUCAGGGGUGAAAUCCUGCAGCUUAACUGUAGAAGUGCCUUUGAUACUGGUCGUCUCGAGGGAGGUAGGGGUGUGUGGAACUUCCAGUGGAGCGGUGAAAUGUGUUGAUAUUGGAAGGAACGCCGGAGGCGAAAGCGACGCACUGGACCUCUUCUGACGCUGAGGCGCGAAAGCUAGGGGAGCAAACGGG